UGGGGAAUCUUGCACAAUGGGCGAAAGCCUGAUGCAGCGACGCCGCGUGCGGGAUGAAGGCCUUCGGGUUGUAAACCGCUUUCAGCAGGGACGAGGCCGCAAGGUGACGGUACCUGCAGAAGAAGCCCCGGCUAACUACGUGCCAGCAGCCGCGGUAAUACGUAGGGGGCAAGCGUUAUCCGGAUUCAUUGGGCGUAAAGCGCGCGUAGGCGGUUUGUUAGGUCAGGAGUUAAAUCUGGGGGCUCAACCCCUAUCCGCUCCUGAUACCGGCAGGCUUGAGUCUGGUAGGGGAAGGCGGAAUUCCAAGUGUAGCGGUGAAAUGCGCAGAUAUCAGGAGGAACACCGGUGGCGAAGGCGGGUCUCUGGGCCGUUACUGACGCUGAGGAGCGAAAGCGUGGGGAGCGAACAGG
rnacentral:rRNA from 1 species